UUGGUCAUGGUAAGAUCAUGGCAAGAUCAUGGUCGGUCAUGGUUAGAUCAUGGUUGGUCAUGGUUUGAUCAUGGUUUGAUCAUGGUUGGUCAUGGUUAGAUCAUGGUUGGUCAUGGUCAGAUCAUGGUUGUUCAUUGUAAGAUCAUAGUUGAUCAUGGUUAGAUCAUGGUUGGUCAUGGUUAGAUCAUGGUUGGUCAUGGUACGAUCAUGGUUGGUCGUGGUUAGAUCAUAGUUGGUAAUGGUUAGAUCAUGGUUGGUCAUGGUUAGAUCAUGGUUGAUCAUGGUUAGAUCAUGGUUAGAUCGUGGUUGGUCAUGGUUAGAUCAUAGUUGGUCAUGGUUGGCCAUGAUAAGAUCAUGGUUGAUCAUGGUUAGUCAUGGUUAGAUCAUAUUUGGUCAUGGUUAGAUCAUGGUUGGUCAUGGUUAGAUUAUGGUUGGUCAUGGUUAGAUCAUGGUUGGAUCAUGGUUGGUCAUGGUCAGAUCAUGGUUGGUCAUGGUUAGAUCAUGGUUAGGCAUGAUUAGAUCAUAGUUGGUCAUGGUUAGGUAACAUAUUUGACUAGCUCUUGUCCUCUAAGCUUCUGUUCUUUCUUCCAGAGAUGAUUGGAGAUGCAGAGGUACUUGAGGUCCACGCAGAAAGCCCGAAACCGCCCGAAACUAAGCAACAUAUUGCCCAGGAUCAGAACGACCAGUGUGAUCAGAAUGAUUAGACUUCCUGAGUGUAAUGCUUCUGUUCUCAUCAUUUAAUGUAGUUAGUAGGAAGCCUGUUUCUGUAUCCAGAAACAUUCUCUGAAUAGUUAUUCUGUAUGAUGUAACACUGUUGUCAUGGUUAGGCAUGAGCCAAUUAAAUCAGAUUAUUGUCCCACUUUUUUUUCUAUUUUAUUAGCUUGGCAUAUGUUCUGUAAGGCGAUGUAUGACCACAAUGUGUUUAGAUGCCUGAGACUGUGAGACAUGCAAUGCCAGGCUAAGUUAAGAGCUAUCUGGAUAAUGACUCACAAUUAUCUUUUGAUUAUAUCUCUAAUUUAGAUAGCAAUAAAAAAAGGCAUUAUUGAACUAUUCAGGUGUCCAAUACGUGUCAUUGUAGCUAUCCUCGUCCCCAGAUUUCUAUACAUUUUAAUCAUUGGUCAAUUGGACACAAUUGUCCAACAGAAAUUUGACUUCAGCUUUUAACCCAACCUCUCCGAAAGACACACAUACUGUACAUGUUUUUGGAGAGGUGUGUUAGGCUGCCUCACUUAGAGCCCAGAGAGCUGUUGUUGUGGGGGUUGGAUAGGUGUGUUAGGCUGCCUCAUUAAGAGCCCAGAGAGCAGUUGUCUAAUAGAGACAUAGAGACAGUAGAUCUAGCUGGUCUGUCAUAAUAUAAUAGAGACAGUAGAUCUAGCUGGUCUGUCAUA
rnacentral:lncRNA from 13 species